rnacentral:rRNA from 1 species
AUUGAACGCUGGCGGCAGGCUUAACACAUGCAAGUCGAGCGAGCGGCGGACGGGUGAGUAAUGUCUGGGCAACUGCCUGAUGGAUGGUGAUCACUACUGGAAACGGUAGCUAAUACCGCAUACCAUCAUCUUUGCCCAGAUUGGAUUCGCUAGUUGGUGGGUUACUGGCUCACAAAGGCGACGAUCCCUAGCUGGUCUGAGAGGAUGACCAGCAAAAUUGGAACUGAGACAAGGCCCAGACGCCUACGGGAGGCAGCAGUGGGGAAGAUGGGACAAUGGGCGAAAGCCUGAUGCAGACAUGCCGCGUGUGUGAAGAAGGCCUUCGGGGUGUAAAGCACGUUCAGCGAGGAGGCGUUACCCGCAGAAGAAGCACCGGCUAACUCCGUGCCAGCAGCCGCGGUAAUUC